GAAAGGUGCGUAAAUAUUUAUUUGUGCAACAAGAGAGGAAAGUUGGUUUUUCUUGCGAGUGUUUAUUUUGAGUCCCGACGAAGCGAGUGAUUCUCAUUUAGAAUCUUGAGCGUAGC